rnacentral:rRNA from 1 species
UACGUAGGGUCCAAGCGUUGUCCGGAUUUAUUGGGCGUAAAGAGCUCGUAGGCGGCUCAGUAAGUCGGAUGUGAAAACUCGGGGCUCAACCCCGAGACGCCAUCCGAUACUGCUGUGGCUUGAGUCUGGUAGGGGAACACGGAAUUCCUGGUGUAGCGGUGAAAUGCGUAGAUAUCGGGAGGAACACCUGAGGCGAAGGCGGGCUACUGGGCCGAUACUGACGCUGAUGCGCGAAAGCCAGGGGAGCGAACGGG